CGGGAAGUAGCUCAGCUUGGUAGAGCACAUGGUUUGGGACCAUGGGUCGCAGGUUCGAAUCCUGUCUUCCCGACCA
rnacentral:tRNA from 1 species